AAGUCGUAACAAGGUCUCCGUUGGUGAACCAGCGGAGGGAUCAUUAUAGAGUGUAAACUCCCUAACCUUUGUGAACAUACCUGUUGCUUCGGCGGUCCUCACCGGCCGCCGAAGGCCUAUAUUCUUGAAUUUACAUGGAUUUCUGAGUAUCAUACAAAAAUAAAUAAAAACUUUCAGCAACGGAUCUCUUGGCUCUG
rnacentral:misc_RNA from 1 species